GAUCAUGGCUCAGAACGAACGCUGGCGGCAGGCUUAACACAUGCAAGUCGAACGGGUGCAGCAAUGCAUCAGUGGCAGACGGGUGAGUAACACGUGGGAACCUUCCUAGGGGUACGGAACAACUCAGGGAAACUUGAGCUAAUACCGUAUACGUCCGUGAGGAGAAAGAUUUAUCGCCCUUAGACGGGCCCGCGUCGGAUUAGCUAGUUGGUGGGGUAACGGCCUACCAAGGCGACGAUCCGUAGCUGAUCUUAGAGGAUGAUCAGCCACACUGGGACUGAGACACGGCCCAGACUCCUACGGGAGGCAGCAGUGGGGAAUCUUGGGCAAUGGGCGCAAGCCUGAUCCAGCCAUGCCGCGUGAGUGAAGAAGGUCUUCGGAUUGUAAAGCUCUUUUGCCAGGGACGAUAAUGACGGUACCUGGAGAAUAAGCCCCGGCAAACUUCGUG
rnacentral:rRNA from 1 species